AUGGGAGCUUUGGAUGGUGGUCUUAAUAUUGCGCACAGUGACAAGAGAUUUGUUGGCUUCAAGAAGGAUAAGAAGCAGCUGGGCGCUGAGAUUCACCGCAAAUACAUCUAUGAAGGUCAUGUUGCUGACUACAUGAAGUCAAUAGCUGAUGAGGAAUCUAAGAAGUACCAAUCUAACUUCAGUGAGUACAUCAAGAAGAAUAUUACGGCCGAUGACAUGGAAGCACUGUACAAGAAGGUUCAUGCUGCCAUUCGUGCUUAUCCUACCAUGGCAAAAUCAACCAAGGAACCUCCAAAGACGCACAAGAGUCUGCGUCGACAUCGUGCUCACGGAGUCUGGCCUCUGCAUUGUGUUCUCCAUCUUGCAGUGCAUGAUGAACUACACGCUAAAGUUCAGCUGAAGUUCCCAUGUUUUCUUCUACUACAAGAGUUCUGUCGAUUUGUACUACUUGGCUGCAAAUGUAUGCCGUUUGCAUCACCAUACGGAUAG
rnacentral:rRNA from 1 species